CGAUCAUUUGGCCCGGCUGGUUCCUGUUUCACAACAGGCGAAGAGGGAAUGUGUGAGAUCAGCAUUGAUCGAAGCACAGCCGCCCCCGCGACCGUGACCGGAAAGGAUGCUGCGCCACUGGCUAGAAGGCCGGGAAGGUGGGCAAUCCGUUGGGGCCUAUCAGGCGUCUGAAUCCGCAAGCCGGGAGACCUGCCAGCGCGAAUGAUUGCAAC
rnacentral:ncRNA from 1 species